rnacentral:tRNA from 1 species
GGUAGGUGGCCGAUAAAGGUGAUAGAUUGUAAAUCUAUUUAUGAGAUUGUUCUUUCUGCCCA